rnacentral:rRNA from 1 species
UACAGAGGUCUCAAGCGUUGUUCGGAUUCAUUGGGCGUAAAGGGUGCGUAGGCGGCGCGGUAGGUCGGGUGUGAAAUCUCGGAGCUUAACUCCGAAACUGCAUUCGAUACUGCCGUGCUUGAGGACUGGAGAGGAGACUGGAAUUUACGGUGUAGCGGUGAAAUGCGUAGAUAUCGUAAGGAAGACCAGUGGCGAAGGCGGGUCUCCGGACAGUUCCUGACGCUGAGGCACGAAGGCCAGGGGAGCAAACGGG